ACAUUCAGGCAAAACCCUAAAGUUCUAGAGUAGAAAAGGCCAAACCUUUUCCGGGUGGGUUGGGGAUUGAAGGGUUGGGUUUUGAUGGACGAAGAACGAAAUGAAACAGUAUCGUUACGAAUUCGAAGGUUGAGACGAUGAAGUGAGAGAAUUUUGAAGGUGGGAGAAGGGAGAGUGGCGAUAGGCAUCGACAUGGCUAUGGCAUUAGAGAGGUUUUGCCAUUACCAGUGAAGAUAGUGGAGACAGAGAGAGUGCUGCGGGUUUUAGCCGUACAGAGGCAAGUAUGGGCGGG
rnacentral:misc_RNA from 1 species